rnacentral:tRNA from 1 species
GUAAAUAUAAUUUAAAAAAAAUAUUAGAUUGUGAAUCUAACAAUAGGAGAUAAAACCCCUUAUUUACC